AUUGAACGCUGGCGGCGGGCCUAACACAUGCAAGUCGAACGAGUGGCGGACGGGUGAGUAAUGUCUGGGAUACUGCCUGCUGGAGGGGGAUAACUACUGGCAACGGUAGCUAAUUCCUCAUACCAUCAGAUGUUCCCAGAUGGGAUUUGCUAGUUGGGGGGGUAACGGCUCAACAAGGCGACGAUCCCUAGCUGGUCUGAGAGGAUGACCAGCCACACGGGAACUGAGACACGUACCAGACUCCUACGGGAGGCAGCAGUGGGGAAUAUUGCACAAGGGGCGCAAGCCAGAUGUAGCCAAGCCGCGUGUAUGAAGAAGGGCUUCGGGUUGUAAAGUACUUUCAGCGGGGAGGCGGUACCCGCAGAAGAAGCACCGGCUAACUCCGUGCCAGCCGCCGCGGUAAUAC
rnacentral:rRNA from 1 species